AGAGGAUGACAGGUCUCUGUCAACUGGAGUGGGAGAAGCCUUCCUGGAGAAGAGGGAGCCUGGGAGCACAAGGACACUUCCAAUAGGCAGAGCGGAAGUGGCUGGCUGGGGCACAGUGGGUGCUGUGCUGAGCACUGGGGCAGGAGCUGACCCCCUAGAAGGGAACCCAUCAUCAGUCAGCAAGAGUGUGUGCAGGAAGGGUGCCUGGGGUCCCCAUUAUGAUGCAGCAGAAGGAGGAACUGGGGCUGAGGAAGGGAGGACUGAAGCAGAGGUGUGUUUUAAAUCCUGCUGCCCUAAAUCAAUGACCUUUGGUGGAGCUAUAGCACUCCUGACAGGGAAAGGUUGGAAAUGUGGCAGCAAUUUUGGUUAGGACAGGAGAAGGUGCAGGUGGAGGCCUGGGAUUCCAUGUGAGCACCAGACAGUGUCUCAAGUCUCCCUUGACCUGCAAAUGUAAAAUGAGAGACCUGUUCAGGAUGAUCCAAGUCCAGGACUUACAGGACCCAGCUUAGUUCUGCAUAAGAACAGUGUCCAACCCUGGCCUUUCUAGCUCUGCUAAUCCUGGGUUUUUCCCCUGAUGGGGUAACAACCUUGAGUGUAGACUGAGGAGUGGGAUAGCUGGGUUUAAUUGUGGUUCCAUUCCAAGUUUUCCAAGGAAACUCCAUACUGCUUUCCAAAUUGAUUGCUCCAAUCUGCAGUCCCACCAGAAAUGUAUGAGUGUGCCUUUUCCCUACUUCCUCACCAACACUUAUUUUGUUUGUAUUCUUUUUUUUUCAACUGCUCCCAGCUGUUGCUUCAUAAAGGAGAAGGAAUUUUAAACUAGGCAGUUGAAGAAACACUAACAUCUCAAACUAACCCAUUUUAUAUCCCUUUUUGAAAAUUUUCUGAACAUGAAAAUUUUGCUUUAAAACCUUUUUUUAUUUUAUUGAUUUUUAAAAAAUAAAUGACAGUGGAAUGCAUUACAAUUCAUAUUACACAUAUAGAGCACAAAUUUUUAUAUCUCUGGUUGUAUAUGAAGUGUAUUCACACCAAUUUGGGUCUUCAUACAUGUACUUUGGAUAAUGAUGUCCAUCAUAUUCCACCAUCAUUGCUAACCCUCUGCCCUCUCCCUUCCUCUCCCACCCCUUUCCCCUAUCUAGAGUUCUUCUAUUCCUCCCAUGCUCUCCCUCCCUAUUCCACUAUAAGUCAGUCACGUUAUAUCAGAGAAAACAUUCAGCAUUUGUUUCUUUGGGAUUAGCUAUGUUGUUUAUAUUCUUGAUAACUGCCAUUCUGACUGAGAUGAAAUGGAUGGAGUUAAAGAAUAUCAUGCUAAGUGAAGUAAGCCAAUCCCCCCAAACCUGAAUGUUCUCUCUGAUAAGUGGGUGCCGAUCCAUAAUGGAGGGGGGCUUGGGAAAAAUGGAGGAGCUUUGAUUGGGAAAAGGGUAGGAAAGUGAGGGAAGGGAAGGAAAGAUGGUGGAAUGAGAUGGAUAUCAUUACCCUAGAUAGAUGUAUGAGUGCACAUAUAGUGCAAUGCUACAUCUUGUACAACCAGAGAAAUGAAAAGUUGUGCUGCAAUAUCACAGCAGAAUGUAUUACAACUUAUAUUAUACAUAUAUAACACAAUGUUUCAUAUCUUUUGUUGUAUACAAAGUAUAUUCACACUGUUCAUGUUUUCAUACAUGUAUUUAGGGUAAUGAUGACCAUAACAUUCUACCAUCUUUUUUAGCCCCAUGCCCUCUCUCUUUGCCUACCACCUCUUUGCCUAUCUAUAGACUUCCUAUAAUCCUCCCAUGCUCCCCUCCCAAACCCACCAUGAAUCAGCCUCAUUAUAUCAGAGAAAACAUUCAGCAUUUUUUUUAUUUUUUGGGGGGGAUUGGCUAACUUCACUUAGCAUUACAUUCUCCAACUCCAUCCACUUAUACCUGCAAAUGUCAUGAUGUUAUUCUCUUUUAAUGAUGAGUAAUAUUCCAUUGUGUAUAUAUACCACAUUUUCUUUAUCCAUUCAUCUACUGAUAGGCAUCUAGGUUGGUUCCACAGUUUAGCUAUUGUGAAUUGUGCUGCUAUAAUCAUUAAUUAUGAUUAAUGUGGCUGUGUCCCUGUAGUAUGCUGUUUUUAAGUCCUUUGGGUAUAAACCAAGGAGUGGGAUAGCUGGGUCAAAUGGAUUCCAUUACCAGUUUUCCAAGGCAUCACCAUACUGCUUCCAUAUUAGCUGCACCAAUUUGCAAUCCCACCAGCAAUGUAUGAGUGUGCCUUUUUCCCCACAUCCUCACCAACACUUACUGUUGUUUGUGUUCAUAAUAACUGCCAUUCUGACAGGAGUGAGAUGAAAUCUUGAGUAGUUUUGAUUUACAUUUCUCUGAUUGCUAGAGAUAAUGAGCAUUUUUUUCAUAUAUUUGUUGAUUGAUUGUAUAUCUCCUACUGAGAGAUGUCUGUUCAAUUCCUUGGCCCAUUUAUUGGUGGGGCUUUUUGAGGGGGGGGGCAUUUAGCUUUUUGAGUUCUUUAUAUACCCUAGAGACUAGUGCUCCAUUUGAUGUGCAAGUGGUAAAAAUUUUCUCCCAUUCUGUAGGCUCUCUAUUCACCUCACAGAGUGUUUCAUUUGCUGAAAAGAAGCUCUUUAGUUUGAAUCAAUCCCAUUUAUUGAUUCUUGAUUUUAAAAAAAUCUCGAAGGAAGAAACAAGGAUUGUUUCUAUUGGAGAUCAGUAUCUUUCCUGCUUCCCUUCUCAUCCGAUGGGUGGGGUCGCUUGUUCUUAGCUGGUAUCUCUGCCCUCAGGAUGGCGAAGGUAACCAGGGAGGAAGGAUUGGUCCUGGGUAGAGGGUACCUGGAAGUGGGGUAUGGGACCUCUCAGACCCCAAAGGGAGAUUGCACCUCAAGGAUCUCAUUUUGGGCCUGCUCGUGUGAUGUGAGUACCUGGUCUUAUCUCUUUAUCUCACCUGAAGACCUUCUAGUUCCUGGUCUCUGUGUUAGCCUGUAAACUGUAUCACACUCACCAUCUCCCUUACUGCUUUCUAAUAAGAGUCCUUUGUCUAUGGGGGCUCUUGUGUGCUGUGUACCUGCCAUGCUAAGAGCUGUUUUGUGUUGGGCAGUCACUGUGCCAGGUUAGAGACUGCUGGGGAGAGGGGGGGGGAGUUAGUAACUGGUACCUGACCAGCCUGAGUUCCAAUGUGGGAGUUGCCCCCACUAAAGGUCGUGAUGAAGGUGACCCAAGAUGGAGGCAAUUGCUUUCAGUGAUGGGGUGUCAGUUGGGUGGGGAGAGCCAGACGAUGGCAUUGGAUAAUGAGUUCAGAGACUAGCUCCACCAUCCUGAGGGCAGAGAUACCAGCAUGUGGCUGUCAGCUGUCUUCAGAGACUGGGUGAAGUUCCCAGGUACAGGCAGGCUACCACACAUAGGGGACUAUCUUCGCUGCUGCAGAGUCCCAAGAUGGAGGAGAUGGGGGGAUCCAUGUUGGUAGAUGGGGGUCCACAUGGGAGUGGAGGCCAGAGUUCCUGCAUAUGGGUAGCAGCCAGGUGUCCUGCAGGGGGGCUGAAUCUGGGAUUUGUGCUUGGGUGGGUGGCCAAAAGUUCUGGCAGGUGCUGAUGCCAAUGGUCCCACUCAGGCACCCAUUAGUCCUGCAUGAGCAUGUAGUUGGGAGACCUACUCAGACUCUGAGGCCUGGGGCCCUGCAUGGGCAGGGUGGCCAUGAUUCCUGCACAGGAAACAGGAAUAUUGCUUGCAGAAAGCAGUAUUCUCACUAUUUGAGUCCCAGGUCACAUAGUGACACAGAAUGUUGCCUCCCUCUGGCCUGCCAUCUUGGAUUACCCCAAUCUUAAUUUUUAAUAUCUUAAACACUUCAUAUAUAUGUCAUAUACAUCAUAUAUAUAUAUAUAUAUAUAUAUAUAUAUAUAUAUAUAUAUAUAAAAUUCAUGUGAUGUGAGUGCCUGGUCUUAUCUCUUUAUCUCACCUGUUCUCUUUAGUCUCCAUUUUUCUUCAGCAAUAUACCUUAUUGGGGAAUAAUUGAUUAAAUGUUAGUAUCCAUUCUUUAACUUGUAUUUGGCUAGGGUCACUUUGAUCCAUUUCUCUUUUGAUCAUGAUCAUGGAAAAUCCCAUGAGAAAAAUGAAUGUGAAUGAAAAUAUGAUUAAGGACAUUUCAUUGUUUUGCUAAUGUUGCAAUUCAAGUUCUGUACUUGCAGCUUCCUCAACCUGGAUGUGGUUUUUGCAGAUUUUGCCUUUGAAUAACCUAAAACACUGAGGCUCCAGGCUGUUUCCCACAGAGACAACGUGGUCCUGUGGGGAGCAGUCCCAGCUGGUCAGGAUAAAAACUCUUCAAUUUGGACAAAACGGGGACUUGGUGUUUUCUGAGCGACCUACUCCACAACAGUGGUUUACUUAUAUAAACAAGGUGUGGAUUCCUUCUAUCUUGGCACCUGUACUCAAAAUAGAGUAACUUAUAGCAAAGUGCUUCUAACAUGGAGUAACUCAGGGUUAAACACAGCCUGAAAACUACUGUUUUAUGUAUCGUGGAAUCACUCAGAGUGGGGCACAACCUGCUCCUCACCAGCACAAAACAAAACAAGUCAAAACAAAAUAACAAAACCCAGGCCCCAAUGUGAAAUUCAAAAUAUCUGACAUCCAAUACAAAUCUAUCAAAUUUACAAAGAGGCAGGAUAGAAUUACAUGUACUUAUUAGGAUAUAAUAUCCAUGGAAGCAAACAUAGAAACAACCAAUGGAAUUGGCAGACACACAUUAAACUAGUCACCAGAAACACACGUCCUGUGUUGAAGAAAGUAGAGGAAAGGAAAAUGGAAGGAGACAGAAAAAUAUUUGAAGAAGUAAGGGCUUAUAUAUUUAUAAUUUCCUAGAGUAUAAAAGUAUCAGAUUUAAAAUUUCAACAAGCUCUAAGAAGAAAAAAUACAGAAAAAAAAUUCUGGAAGAAACAUCUUGGGCAAAUUCUUGAAAAACAGUGGCAAACAAAAUAUUCAAAGAAACUAUGGUGGUGUAGCUUGGUGGUAGAGUACCUGCCCAGCAUGUACAAAGCUCUGGGUUCAAUUCCCAGUACAGGAAAACAAAACAAAACAAAACAAAACAAACAAACAAACAAAACAUUACACACAUAGGCUCAAAGCUAAGCAUAGUACAUUUCUUGUUGCAAAAUGAUUCUCAUGUCUGAAUAUAUACCUCCCAAAUUCGUGUGUUGAAGUUCUAAACACAAGUACUUCAGAAAGCAUAGAGACCUUAGAGGUAAUUAAGUUAAAAUGAAGCCAUUAGGUUGGUUCCUACUCCAUAUGACUGGUUUCCUCAUAGGAAGAGAAUAGAACCCAGGAACACAGAGGGAAGACCACGUGGAGACAGGGAGACGAUGGCCUUUCACAAGCCAAGGAGAGAUCUCAGAAGAAACUCACUCUAGUAACACCUUGAUCUGGAACUUGUCAUCUCAAAAACUGUGAGAAGAUAAAUUUCUGUGGAGCUUUGUAUGGCAACCUGAAAAAUUCUGUGUAAUAAUAGAGCAAAAUUUUUAAAGGGCUGAAAAAAAAAAUCCUGAAAAUAUUGAACUCCAUCUCCAACAAAAAAUAUCUUUCAAGAAUGCAGGUGAAGACAUUUCAAGGCUAGAGUUGUGGUACUAAGUUCAAGGCCAAAAUGGGCAAUUUAGUUUGACUCUUUCUCAAAAAAAAAAAAAAAAGUGGAGUGGAGAAGGAGCUCAGUUGUAGAGCAGCCAGAAUUCAAUCAACAGUACUCUAAAAAUUAUUUUUUAGGCAUUAAUAUCUAAGAGAAUUUACUGCCAGCAGACCUGAACUAAAAUAAACGAUGACAAAAGUUCUUUAAGCAGAAGGAAAAAUGCUAUUAGAUUUGUACAAAAAGCUAAAGAGAAUCAUGAAUCAUAAAUAUACAAAUACAUAAAAAUUAUUUUUUUCCAUUUUUAAGUGUUAAAAGCAACAUUAAUAAAAGUUCACUGUGGGAUUUACAAUGUAAAACUAAAAUGAACUACAGUAAGGCACAAAGGAUGGGAUGGGCAACCUGUGAUGUAGAACUUCUGUCUACUGUACACAUAUGCAUAUAACUUCCUUAGAUAUACUGUUGUAAAGUUGCACACUAUAGGUGAAGUGGUAUUUUAUUUUUUGAAGGUAUACUGAAAUAAAUUGAAUAUGUAUGUUGCAAAACUUAGAGCAACAGCUAAAACAACAAUGAGAAGGAUGGCAACAGAAACAAAGAGGUACAGAUAACAAGCUAUUUUAACUUGAGAUAAAAUGGAAUACUAAAAAUAUGCUGAACCCCAAACAAGGCAAGUGAAGAAGAGAAAAGGAAUAAAGAACAAGUGUAAAAAGCAGGAAACAGGUAGCAAGCUGAUAUUUAAUGAUGAUUUCAUUAAAUUUAAGUAGUCUAAAUACUCCAGUUAAAAGACAUAGACCAUCUCACAGGGUCAGGAAGCAAAACUGAGCUAUUUGCUAGAUUUCAAGUUACACUCUUUACAUAUAAAUAGGAUGAUUGUUUAAAGUAACAGGAUGAACAAAGAUGUAUCAUGUAACCACUAAUCAAAAGAAAGCUGAAGUGGCCACGUUCAUAUUAGACAAAAGAUUUCAGAGCAAGAAUUAUUAUCAAGGAUAAUGAAGGAUUAUAUCUAAUCAUGAAGAUGAAUUUAUCAAGACAACAUAAUUCUAAUAUAUGAACAACUACUAAUAGAGAUUUAAAAUACAUGAGACAAAACCUGAUAGAACUGAAAGGAGAAGUAGUUAACAAAGUAGAAUGUUAUGUAUAAAUUUUCAAAUUAAUAUAGAAUAUUCAUUAGAAAAGACCAUAAUGUAGACCAUAAAACCACUGUCAAAAGUUUAAGAGGAUGAAAAUCAUAUAAAUUAAGUUCUUUGAUCAUGAUGGAAUUAAGCAAGAAAUUAUUAGCAGAAAUAUAGCUGGAAAAUCNGCUAUGCAGCUGGCCAUGCAGCUGGCGGGCCUACCCUUGGGCUGGAUUACAAAUGAAGGCUCUCUUACCAUAAGAAAGCAGGUGAAGGAGGUGGAGGGGGGUGAGCAAUAAGCGAUAAGGGGGGCAGACCAGGAAUUCAGGAAGAUGGCGCAGGCUGGUGACUUGUAGGCAGGGCUUGCGGUGGGGCUGCUCUCCUAGGGGCUCCUCCCGCACAAGCUACCCCAGCAGCUCCCUAUAGUAAGUCAAGCCAAGCCACCAGUCCAGCUGUCACACUAGCCAGAGGAGAGGGAAAGAGGCCGGGGGGCCUGUGGGAGGCUGGGACCCACCUGUCCUUGGGCUCACUCACCUGCCACCUUCUGCCCCUCCCAGGAUGCCUUGGCUGACACUGCUCCGCUGUUCCUGAUGGCCAUCCUGUGCUGCCCUUCUCUCGCCCCUCUGCCUUCCUUUCGGCCUGGGAAGCCUGUGUGACCUGCCCUGUCCCUCUCUUUCUUCCCAGGACAAGCAUGUGGAAGAGGUGUGGAAAAACAAGGAGCUGAAGGAAGAGGCCUCCAGGUAAAGCCCAGAGGCCAAAGAAGUUUCCAGGACAGCUGGACAGUCUCACAGCUCGCAGUUCCAGCAGCCUCGCCCGCUGACUGCUCUCCCAGUGCUGGGUUUGGAAAGAGGUGGGUGGCCCAGGGGCGUUUCCUCUGCUUUUGGUGUUUGUACAUGUAAAUAAUUGACCAGUGAAGCCAUCCUAUUUGUUUCUGUGGAACAAUGAUGGGGUGGGAGAGGGGAGAGAAGGAGAGUUUGGAAAGGAGAAGGCAUGGACAUUGCAACGCUACCCACUGCAGACUCAGCCGACCAAGGCCUCCAAUUUUCACAGCUCUGCCUGAAAGAGCAGCCUCCAGGCACCGUGUUGAGGGAAGAUGAGAACCAGGGACAGUGGAAGUUCAGGGUGAAUGAUGGGCAGAGUCCUGAGGGACCAUGACUGCAGGGCCCACAGGAUAAGAAGCCCAGCUAGAGCAGUGCAAGGCAGACAUGUCACUCUGCCUAGCAGCAGGAGGAAUGAGGUGUGUGUGUGUGUGUGUGUGUGUGUGUGUGUGUGUGUGUUAACCAUCAUUUUUAGAUCAUCAUGACCAAUGAAACAUUUACUACAAGUUUCCAGUUCUUUAUUUCCUGAAUAUGUUUUUUGGGUGACUGGUAGAAAAUUCUAGAAAUUUAUCCGCCUCCCAUCUAAUAGCAGGUGUCUCUUAUUUUUGCCAUCCAUGUAUCUGAGGUGCUGCUGGGAGAGGUUGGUUAAAUUAUGCUGGACUUUGGCAUAAUUGAAAGGUUUGCUUUUCCCUUCUUUUAAACCCUCCCUGUGGGUUGUUCCUUACUGGAUUGAGUGUAAUGAAUUGAUAAGAAAAGAAACCCAAUCUUCCUUUCUAUGGACUAACAUUCUAAUAUGGUCCCCAGGAUUCAUUGUAAGAAAGAAGCUGUCAUAAUCUGUUAGGCUAAUAUAACAAAAUACCUUAGUCUGGGUCAUUUAUAAAGGAAAGAAAUUUAUUGCUCACACUUCUGGAGUCUGGGAGGUCCAAGAUCAUCUGGUCAAAGCUUCUCUCCACUCACUCCUCAUAUGGCAAAAGGGUAAAAUGAGGGUGAAGCCCUCAUGAGCUCAUCACCUCCUGAAGGUCCUACCUCUUAAUAUUAUUGCAUGGGGGGUAGGUUUCAACAUAGAAAUUCUGGGGGAACCUCAACAGUCAGAGCCUGGCAGAAGCCCUUCUCACACUGGGAGCUUUGGGAUUCUCAGAGAAUCACAAAAUGUGAGCAAGAAAAUAAAGUGUUUGCUAGUGGAAGGCAGAAGGAGCCAUUCAAUACCAGAAGUCAUGUUCUCCAGGACCAGCACCAUGGCUGGAACCAGAAGCCCCUCCCACUCCUCCCCUGCAAACAGGAGCAGGAGGGCAGUCUGCCUGACCGGGGGCCCAGGGCAUUGCUACACCCUGCCCUGCACACUGUGGAAUUUUGUACAGCUUUGCAAAUAAACUCUUUGAUAUUGCCUUUUGUUUUUUCCACCAGUGGUAUUGCAAUUUAGCCUUGUUUUAGGAAAGGAUAACUGGAGGAUCAACAUUGAUGGUGGUGAUGAAGAAGAAGGAGGAGGCGGCAGCUAAUGCUUUGAAGGCUCUUACUAGAUACCUGGAAAUUUUCUGAACUUAUAUAUUACCUCACCUAAUUCUCACACCAGCUGGAGGAGAAACUUAUUCUUAUUAUUCUAUUGUGUAUGAAAAGAAAUCGAGGUAUAGAAAGCAUAACUCUUGCCCAAAUUCACAAAGAUAGUUAAGUGGGAGAACAGGGACUUGAAUUUGGCAGCUUUCUCCCAAGGUCUGUAUUUUUAGCCACAUCACUGUGCUGCUUCUUUAAAAAAAAAAAAAAAAACAAAAAACUUUUUAUUUGUUUAUUGUAAUCAUACAGAACAUUGGAAUUCAUUGUCAUAUUCAUACAUGCACACAAUAUAACACUAUAAUUUGGCCAACAUCCUUACCCUUUCCCUCCCUAUCUCCUCCCCCUUCCUCUACUCUACUGGCCUCCUUUUAUUUUCUGUACUGCUUCUUGACACUUCCAAACUAGGCUGUGAGUCCUAGAUCAGUGUUUCUGAAGCUGUGAGAUAUGACUCAUUGGAUUGUGGGUUCAACUUUAUUGGCCCUACCCAAUCUUCCUUCCUUCAGAAUAGAACAGAAAACUAAACAUUAAAAUGCAUUCCAGGUAAUAAGUACUUUUUUCCACAGAAAUUGUAUCUCAAUUUUAGAUUUUGUGUAUGUAUUUCUGCAUAAAACAUAUACAUAUAAAUGUGUAUAUAUAUAUAUAUAUAUAUAUAUAUAUAUAUAUAUUCAUAUAUAAAUAUGUAUUUUUAAAUUGGGGGUGGCAAUCAGACCCUUUUGAAUGAGCAUGGAGACAGGAUGUCCACUAAGCCCCAGCACCUGACCCUGAAAUUUCAAAUUAUGUGCUCUGCAUGGGGCACCUUCAAAGCAUUAGGAAACAAAUCCUGCCUUGAAAGUGUUUACAAAUGGGGCAGGAAGCUAAGUGGCAAGGCCAUGGUUUUUAAAUUUCCAAUUUACAUCAAAAUCUCUCUGAGAGCUUGAUAAAGUGUGGAUUUCUUUGUCCUGGGAGUUUGUAAAUGAAAAUAAUUGACUAGGCUUAUUGAAAUAGGGUCUUUUGAGGACCCCAUCUGCCCUGGAACCUACAAUUUAGAAAUCAAUUUCUGGUUUUUUCCUUUUAAAAAUGGUUUAGUAAGAUUAAAUCUUAUUUUAAAUUAUUUCUGGUAAUUGGCAGGAUUUAUACUAAGUUGGUAUUCACCAAGAUGGGCAAACUUGUUGUUGACAGCUAUUACCUGUCCUAAUCUGCCAGUGUCCCUCUGUUUGGGUGCAUACAGGGCCCUUCCAGCUGCACAGCCCCUUCCCUGGGAUUCUCUGGGCCUCCCCACAGUCCAGGAGCUAAAGAGUUUUGGCACCGCAGGGGGCCUCUGAAGACUGUCACUUAAGCCUGACAGCUGCCAUCUAUUCUUAUUGGUUGUUAAGUACAGUAUUUAUUUUUAAUUAACAGAUCAAAUUAUAUGAUUCAUCAUGAACAAUGUGAUGGUCACAGUUUGAACCAUUCUGAACAACAGAAAACUAAGCCAUAGGCAAUGCAUUCAAGGGCAAGAGGAUGACAGGUCUCUGUCAACUGGAGUGGGAGAAGCCUUCCUGGAGAAGAGGGAGCCUGGGAGCACAAGGACACUUCCAAUAGGCAGAGCAGAAGAGGCGGGCUGGGGCGCAGUGGGUGCUGUGCUGAGCGCUGGGAUAGGAGCUGACCUCCUAGAAGGGAACCCAUCAUCAGUCAGGAAGAGUGUGUGCAGGAAGGACACUUGGGGUCCCCAUUAUGAUGCAGUGGAAGGAGGAACUGGGGCUGAGGAAGGGAGGACUGAAGCAGAGGUGUGUUUUAAAUACUGGUGCCCUAAAUCAAUGACAUUUGGUGGAGCGAUAGCACUCCUGACAGGGGAAGGUUGGAAAUGUGGCAGCAAUUUUUGUUAGGACAGGAGAAGGUGCAGGUGGAGGCCUUGGAUUCCAUGUGAGCACCAGACAGUGUCUCAAGUCUCCCUUGACCUCCAAAUGUAAAUGAGAGACCUGUUCAGGAUGAUCCAAGCCCAGGACUUACAGGACAUAGCUUAGUUCUGCAUAAGAACAGUGCCCAACCCUGGCCUUUCUAGCUCUGCUAAUCCUGGGUUUUUCCCCUGAUGGGGUAAUGGCCUUGAGUGUAGACUAAGGAGUGGAAUAGCUAGGUUAAAUGGUAGUUCCAUUCCAAAUUUUCCAAAGAAUCUCCAUACUGCUUUCCAAAUUGAUUGCUCCAAUCUGCAGUCCCACCAGUAAUGUAUGAGUGUGCCUUUUCCCUACUUCAUCACCAACACUUAUUUUGUUUGUAUUCUUUUUUUUCAACUGUUCCCAGCUGUGCUUCAUAAAGGAGAAGUAAUUUUAAACUAGGCAGUUUAAGAAAUACUAACAUCUCAAACUAACCCAUUUUAUAUCCUUUUUUGUAAUUUUUCGGAACAUGAAAAUUUUGCUUUAAAACAUUUUUUAUUUUAUUUAUUUAUUUUUUUAAAUAAAUGACAGCAGAAUGCAUUACAAUUCAUAUGACACAUAGAGAGCACAAUUUUUUUUAUAUCUCUGGUUGUUUAUGAAGUGUAUUCACACCAAUUUGUGUCUUCAUACAUGUACUUUGUAUAAUGAUGCCCAUCAUAUUCCACCAUAAUUGCUAACCCUCUGCCCUCUCCCUUCCUCUCCCACCCCUUUCCCCUAUCUAGAGUUUGUCUAUUCCUCCCAUGCUCUCCCUCCCUAUUCCACUAUGAGUCAGUCACCUUAUAUCAGAGAAAACAUUCAGCAUUUGUUUCUUUGGGAUUAGCUAUGUUGUUUGUAUUCUUGAUAACUGCCAUUCUGACUGAGAUGAAAUGGAUGGAGUUAGAGAAUAUCAUGCUAAGUGAAGUAAGCCAAUCCCCCCAAACAUGAAUGUUCUCUCUGAUAAGUGGGUACCGAUCCAUAAUGGAGGGGGGCUUGGGGAAAAUGGAGGAGCUUUGAUUGAGCAAAGGGUAGGAAAGUGAGGGAACAGAAGGAAAGAUGGUGGAAUGAGAUGGACAUCAUUACCCUAGAUACAUGCAUGAGUGCACAUGUAGUGCAAUGCUACAUCUUGUACAACCAGAGAAAUGAAGAGUUGUGCUGCAAUAUCACAGCAGAAUGUAUUACAACUUAUAUUAUACAUAUAUAACACAAUGUUUCAUAUCUUUUGUUGUAUACAAAGUAUAUUCACACCGUUCAUGUUUUCAUACACGUAUUUAGGGUAAUGAUGACCAUAACAUUCCACCAUCUUUUUUACCCCCAUGCCCCUCUCUUUCCCUCCCACUUUUUUGCCUAUCUAGACUUCCUCUAAUCCUCCCAUGCUCCCCUCCCAAACCCACCAUGAAUCAGCCUCAUUAUAUCAGAGAAAACAUUCAGCAUUUUUUUAUUUUUAGAGGGGGAUUGGCUAACUUCGCUUAGCAUUACAUUCUCCAAUUCCAUCCAUUUACCUGCAAAUGUCAUGAUGUUAUUCUCUUUUAAUGCUGAGUAAUAUUCCAUUGUGUAUAUAUGCCAAAUUUUCUUUAUCCAUUCAUCUACUGAUAGGCAUCUAGGUUGGUUCCAUAGUUUAGCUAUUGUGAAUUGUGCUUCUGUAAUCAUUAAUUAUGAUCAAUGUGGCUGUGUCCCUGUAGUAUGCUGUUUUUAAGUCCUCUGGGUAUAAACCAAGGAGUGGGAUGGCUGGGUCAAAUGGGUUCCAUUACCAGUUUCCCAAGGCAUCUCCAUACUGCUUCCAUAUUGGCUGCACCAAUUUGCAAUCCCACCAGCAAUGUAUGAGUGUGCCUUUUUUUCCCACAUCCUCAAUAACACUUACUAUUGUUUGUCUUCAUAAUAACUGCCAUUCUGACAGGAGUGAGAUGAAAUCUUGAGUAGUUUUGAUUUACAUUUCUCUGAUUGCUAGAGAUGAUGAGCAUUUUUUCAUAUAUUUGUUGAUUGAUUGUAUAUCUCCUUCUGAGAGAUGUCUGUUCAAUUCCUUGGACCAUUUAUUGAUGGGGCUUUUUUUUUUGGGGGGGGGGCAUUUAGCUUUUUGAGUUCUUUAUAUACCCUAGAGACUAGUGCUCUAUUUGAUGUGCAAUUGGUAAAAAUUUUCUCCCAUUCUGUGGGCUCUCUAUUCACCUCACAGAUUGUUUCAUUUGCUGAAAAGAAGCUCUUUAGUUUGAAUCAAUCCCAUUUAUUGAUUCUUGAUUUUAAAAAAAUCUCGAAGGAAAAAAAACAUGGAUUGUUUUUGUUGGAGAUCAGUAUCUUUCCUGCUUCCCUUCUCAUCCAAUGGGUGGGGUCACUUGUUCUUAGCUGGUAUCUCUGCCUUCAGGAUGGUGAAGGUAACCAGGGAGGAAGGAUUGGUCCUGGGUAGAGGGUACAUGGAAGUGGGGUAUGGGACCUCUCAGUCCCCAAUGAGAGAUUGCACCUCAAGGAUCUCAUUUUGGGCCUGCUCAUGUGAUGUGAGUGCCUGGUCUUAUCUCUUUAUCUCACCUGAACAGCUUCCAGUUCCUGGUCUCUGUGUUAGCCUGUAAACUGUAUCACACUCACCAUCUCCCUUACUGCUUUCUAAUAAGACUCCUUUGCCUCUGGGGCUCUUGUGUGCUGUGUACCUGCCAUGCUAAGAGCUGUUUUGUGUUGGGCAGUCACUGUGCCAGGUUAGAGACUGCUGGGGAGAGGGGGGAGUUAGUAACUGGUACCUGACUAGCCUGAGUUCCAACGUUGGAGUUGCCCCCACUAAAGGUGGUGAUGAAGGUGACCCAAGAUGGAGGCGAUUGCUUUCAGCGAUGGGGUGUCAGUUGGGUGGGGAGAGCCAGGCGAUGGCAUUGGACAAUGAAUUCAGAGACUAGCUCUGCCAUCCUGAGGGCAGAGAUACCAGCGUGUGGCUGUCAGCUGUCUUCAGAGCCUGGGGGAAGUUCCCAGGUAUAGGCAGGCUACCGCACAUAGGGGACUAUCUUCGCUGCUGCAGAGUCCCAAGAUGGAGGCAACAGGGGAGCUCCAUGUUGGUAGAUAGGGGUCCACAUGGGAGUGGAGGCCAGAGUUCCUGCAUAUUGGGUAGCAGCCAGGUGUCCUGCAUGGGAGCUGAAUCUGGGAUUUGUGCUUGGGUGUGUGGCCGAAAGUUCUGGCAGGUGCUGAUGCCAAUGGUCCCACUCAGUUACCCAUUAGUCCUGCAUGAGCAAGUAGUUGGGAGACCUACUCAGAGGCUGAGGCCUGGAGCCCUGCAUGGGCAGGGUGGCCAUGCUUCCUGCGCAAGGAAUAAGAAUAUUGCUUGCAGAAAAGCAGUAUUCUCACUACUUGAGUCCCAUGUCACAGAGUGACACAGAAUGCUGCCUCCCUCUGGCCCGCCAUCUUGGAUUACCCCAAUCUUAAUUUUUAAUUCCCUGUACAGGAAAACAAAACAAAACAAAACAAACAAGCAAACAAACAAAACAUUACACACAUAGGCUCAAAGAUAAGCAUAGUACAUUUCUUGUUGCAAAACGAUUCUCAUGUCUGAAUAUAUACCUCCCAAAUUCAUGUGUUGAAGUUCUAAACAAAAGUACUUCAGAAUGCAUAGAGACCUUAGAGGUAAUUAAGUUAAAAUGAAGUAGGUUGGGUCCUACUCCAUAUGACUGGUCUCCUCAUAGGAGGAGAAUAGAACCCAGGAACACAGAGGGAAGACCACGUGGAGACAGGGAGACGAUGGCCUUUCACAAGCCAAGGAAAGGUCUCAGAAGAAACUCACUCUAGUAACACCUAGAUCUGGAACUUGUCAUCUCCAAACUGUGAGAAGAUAAAUUUCUGUGGAGCUUUGUAUGGCAACCUGAAAAAUUCUGUGUAAUAAUAGAGCAAAAUCUUUAAAGGGCUGAAAAAAAAAUCCUGAAAAUAUUGAACUCCACCUCCAACAAAAAUAUCUUUCAAGAAUGCAGGUGAAGACAUUUCAAGGCUGGAGUUGUGGUUCAAGUUCAAGGCCAAUCUGGGCAACUUAGUUUGACUCUUUCUCAAAAAAAAAAAAAAAAAGUGGAGUGGGGAAGGAGCUCAGUUGUAGAGCAGCCAGAAUUCAAUCCACAUUACUCUAAAAAUUAUUUUUUAGGCAUCAAUAUCUAAGAGAAUUUACUGCCAGCAGACCUGAAUGAAAAUAAACAAUGACAAAAGUUCUUUAAGCAGAAGGAAAAAUGCUAUUAGAUUUGUACAAAAAGCUAAAGAGAAUCAUGAAUCAUAAAUAUACAAAUACAUAAAAAUUAUUUUUUCAAUUUUUAAGUGUUAAAAGCAACAUUAAUAA
rnacentral:lncRNA from 1 species